rnacentral:rRNA from 1 species
GACGUUACCUACACGAAGAAGCACCGGCUAACUCCGUGCCAGCAAGCCGCGGUAAUACGGAGGGUGCGAGCGUUAAUCGGAAUUACUGGGCGUAAAGCGCAUGCAGGCGGACCUGUUAAGUACAGAUGUGAAAGCCCGGGGCUUAAACCUCGGAAUUGCAUUUGAAACUGGCAGGCUAGAGUCUUGUAGAGGGGGGUAGGAAUUUCAGGUGUAGCGGUGAAAUGCGUAGAGAUCUGAAGGAAUACCAGUGGCGAAGGCGGCCCCCUGGACAAAGACUGACGCUCAGAUGCGAAAGCGUGGGGAGCAAACAGGAUUAGAUACCCCUGGUAG